rnacentral:rRNA from 1 species
CCUAACACAUGCAAGUCGAACGAAGUAGCAAUACUUAGUGGCAGACGGGUGAGUAACAUGUAGGUAUCUACCCUAUGGCCUGGAAUAACACGAGGAAACUUGUGCUAAUACUGGAUAAGUCUUUACGGAGAUAGCUUUAUGCACCAUUGGAUGAGCCUGCACUUGAUUAGUUUGUUGGUGGGGUAAUGGCCUACCAAGACUGUGAUCAGUAGCUGAUUUGAGAGGAUGAUCAGCCACAUUGGGACUGAGACACGGCCCAAACUCCUACGGGAGGCAGCAGUGGGGAAUCUUGCACAAUGGAGGAAACUCUGAUGCAGCGAUGCCGCGUGAGUGAAGAAGGCCUUUGGGUUGUAAAGCUCUUUCGUCGGGGAAGAAAAUGACUGUACCCGAAUAAGAAGGUCCGGCUAACUUCGUGCCAGCAGCCGCGGUAAUACGAAGGGACCUAGCGUAGUUCGGAAUUACUGGGCUUAAAGAGUUCGUAGGUGGUUGAAAAAGUUGGUGGUGAAAUCCCAGAGCUUAACUCUGGAACUGCCAUCAGAACUUUUUAGCUAGAGUAUGAUAGAGGAAAGCAGAAUUUCUAGUGUAGAGGUGAAAUUCGUAGAUAUUAGAAAGAAUACCAAUUGCGAAGGCAGCUUUCUGGAUCAUUACUGACACUGAGGAACGAA